CACUCGGUGAGGAAUUCUUUCUCUGCAAAGUGAAAACCCCUUCAUUUUUCUUGUGCUGAAGAAGUGUCACCGAAAGCAAGAGCAGAUACUGGCCCACAUGGCUGUGGGGUUCUGUGACAGGCGACAGAUGGCCUCUUGGACAAAGGGUUUCCUGGGACAUUACAAUCCAUGCUUAAGGAAUCCUGGAAACAAGAUGCCAUGACAAUCCUCAUAUCCAUCUGUCAAAAGGAGGAGAAACAGAGAUAAAGAAUGAACUUCCAUUUCACUGACUCACUCUUCAAGUACCUGCAUGAACUAGGGUAAGGCCAGACAGAAGUCAGAAGCCUGGAAUUCAGUUCAUAUCUCCCACAUAGUAAGGACCAAAGUAUUCAAGCCAUUACUUAUCACCUUUUAGGGUACACAUUAGCAGGAAGCUGGAUCAGUAGAGGAGCUUCUACUCAAUCCAGGCAAUUGAACAGGGAAUGUGUGUGUCUCAAGCAAUGAACCAUUAUGCCAAACAACUGCCCCCCACAGAUGUAGAACUUUAAAGUAAUCAACCACCUGGAAAGCAUAGCACACUCUCUUAAGU